rnacentral:rRNA from 1 species
ACGCUAUCUACAGGCUUAACACAUGCAAGUCGAGGGGCAGCAUUUUAGUUUGCUUGCAAACUGAAGAUGGCGACCGGCGCACGGGUGAGUAACACGUAUCCAACCUGCCGAUAACUCCGGAAUAGCCUUUCGAAAGAAAGAUUAAUACCGGAUAGCAUACGAAUAUCGCAUGAUAUUUUUAUUAAAGAAUUUCGGUUAUCGAUGGGGAUGCGUUCCAUUAGUUUGUUGGCGGGGUAACGGCCCACCUAGACUACGAUGGAUAGGGGUUCUGAGAGGAAGGUCCCCCACAUUGGAACUGAGACACGGUCCAAACUCCUACGGGAGGCAGCAGUGAGGAAUAUUGGUCAAUGGGCGAGAGCCUGAACCAGCCAAGUAGCGUGAAGGAUGAAGGCUCUAUGGGUCGUAAACUUCUUUUAUAUGGGAAUAAAGUUUUCCACGUGUGGAAUUUUGUAUGUACCAUAUGAAUAAGGAUCGGCUAACUCCGUGCCAGCAGCCGCGGUAAUACGGAGGAUCCGAGCGUUAUCCGGAUUUAUUGGGUUUAAAGGGAGCGUAGGUGGAUUGUUAAGUCAGUUGUGAAAGUUUGCGGCUCAACCGUAAAAUUGCAGUUGAAACUGGCAGUCUUGAGUACAGUAGAGGUGGGCGGAAUUCGUGGUGUAGCGGUGAAAUGCUUAGAUAUCACGAAGAACUCCGAUUGCGAAGGCAGCUCACUAGACUGUCACUGACACUGAUGCUCGAAAGUGUGGGUAUCAAACAGGAUUAGAUACCCUGGUAGUCCACACAGUAAACGAUGAAUACUCGCUGUUUGCGAUAUACAGUAAGCGGCCAAGCGAAAGCAUUAAGUAUUCCACCUGGGGAGUACGCCGGCAACGGUGAAACUCAAAGGAAUUGACGGGGGCCCGCACAAGCGGAGGAACAUGUGGUUUAAUUCGAUGAUACGCGAGGAACCUUACCCGGGCUUAAAUUGCAACAGAAUAUAUUGGAAACAGUAUAGCCGUAAGGCUGUUGUGAAGGUGCUGCAUGGUUGUCGUCAGCUCGUGCCGUGAGGUGUCGGCUUAAGUGCCAUAACGAGCGCAACCCUUAUCUUUAGUUACUAACAGGUUAUGCUGAGGACUCUAGAGAGACUGCCGUCGUAAGAUGUGAGGAAGGUGGGGAUGACGUCAAAUCAGCACGGCCCUUACGUCCGGGGCUACACACGUGUUACAAUGGGGGGUACAGAAGGCAGCUAGCGGGUGACCGUAUGCUAAUCCCAAAAGCCUCUCUCAGUUCGGAUCGAAGUCUGCAACCCGACUUCGUGAAGCUGGAUUCGCUAGUAAUCGCGCAUCAGCCACGGCGCGGUGAAUACGUUCCCGGGCCUUGUACACACCGCCCGUCAAGCCAUGGGAGCCGGGGGUACCUGAAGUACGUAACCGCAAGGAUCGUCCUAGGGUAAAACUGGUGACUGGGG